UUUCCGUAGGUGAACCUGCGGAGGGAUCAUUAACGAGUUAGGGUCUUUUAGGCCCGACCGCCCAACCCUAUGUUUAUUGAACCUCUGUGGCUUCCGCGGACCCGUCUCACGGCCGCCGGAGGAUCCCUGCGAGGCGUCCCCGGGCCAGCGUCCGCGGAUGGCCAACCCACUAAACUCUGAAUGAAACGUGGCAUAUGUCUAAGUCUAUGAUUAAAUUAAAGCAAAACUUUCAACAACGGAUCUCUUGGUUCUG
rnacentral:misc_RNA from 1 species